UACAUGGGGUGCAAACGUUACUCGGAAUUAUUGGGCGUAAAGCGCGCGUAGGCGGUUACUCAAGUCGGAUGUGAAAGCCCUCGGCUUAACUGAGGAAGUGCACCCGAAACUGAGUAGCUAGAGUACUAAAGAGGGUCGCGGAAUUCCCGGUGUAGAGGUGAAAUUCGUAGAUAUCGGGAGGAACACCGGUGGCGAAGGCGGCGACCUGGGUAGAUACUGACGCUGAGGCGCGAAAGCGUGGGGAGCAAACAGGG
rnacentral:rRNA from 1 species